rnacentral:rRNA from 1 species
UACGGGGGGGGCAAGCGUUGUUCGGAAUUACUGGGCGUAAAGGGCUCGUAGGCGGCCAACUAAGUCAGACGUGAAAUCCCUCGGCUUAGCCGGGGAACUGCAUCUGAUACUGGAUGGCUUGAGAUUGGGAGAGGGAUGCGGAAUUCCAGGUGUAGCGGUGAAAUGCGUAGAUAUCUGGAGGAACACCGGUGGCGAAGGCGGCAUCCUGGACCAACACUGACGCUGAGGAGCGAAAGCCAGGGGAGCAAACGGG